rnacentral:rRNA from 1 species
UACGUAGGGGGCAAGCGUUGUCCGGAUUUAUUGGGCGUAAAGAGCGUGUAGGCGGCCUGAAAGGUCAGCUGUGAAAACUCGAGGCUCAACCUCGAGACGUCGGUUGAAACCAUCUGGCUAGAGUCCGGAAGAGGAGUGUGGAAUUCCCGGUGUAGCGGUGAAAUGCGCAGAUAUCGGGAAGAACACCCGUGGCGAAAGCGGCGCACUGGACCACAACUGACGCUGAGGCGCGAAAAGCUAGGGGAGCAAACAGG